rnacentral:lncRNA from 1 species
UCCCCAUUGCUUCAAGAACUCAUCCACAAACUCCGUCCAUCCCAAUGGAUUCCCUUCUCUAGCGUAGAGGUUCCUUAGCCACCUCCACCAUCGGUUGGCCCUCCCCUCCAAGUGAUAGGAAGCUAGAGUCACCUUCUCCUCCCUAGGGAUUUCGUACACUAGGAAGUAUUGCUCCACUCUAUCCAACCACUCAUAAGGGUCACCUCCUCCAAAUGUAGGGAAAUCGAUCUUCGGUUUCCGGAUCCUAUCAUGCCGAUCCGAAACCCUAACAUCUUCUUCCUUUCUUCUCCUCCUUUCCUCCCUAUCUCUCCGGCCAUAAGGCCUUCGAUGUAGAGGACUCCUUUGGGGCUCACUCUCUCCUC